rnacentral:rRNA from 1 species
GACGAACGCUGGCGGCAUGCCUUACACAUGCAAGUCGAACGGCGGCACGGGUGCUUGCACCUGGUGGCGAGUGGCGAACGGGUGAGUAAUAUAUCGGAACGUACCUUAUUGUGGGGGAUAACGCAGCGAAAGCUGUGCUAAUACCGCAUAAUCCCUAAGGGGGAAAGCGGGGGACCGUAAGGCCUCGCGCAAUUAGAGCGGCCGAUACCUGAUUAGCUAGUUGGUGAGGUAAAGGCUCACCAAGGCAACGAUCAGUAGCUGGUCUGAGAGGACGAUCAGCCACACUGGGACUGAGACACGGCCCAGACUCCUACGGGAGGCAGCAGUGGGGAAUUUUGGACAAUGGGGGCAACCCUGAUCCAGCAAUGCCGCGUGAGUGAAGAAGGCCUUCGGGUUGUAAAGCUCUUUUGUCAGGGAAGAAACAGCAGCUCUAACACAGUUUGCGAAUGACGGUACCUGAAGAAUAAGCACCGGCUAACUACGUGCCAGCAGCCGCAGUAA